rnacentral:rRNA from 1 species
GACAGAGGGUGCAAACGUUGCUCGGAAUCACUGGGCGUAAAGGGCGUGUAGGCGGGACAGUAAGUCGGGCGUGAAAUCCCUGGGCUUAACCGGGGAACUGCGUCUGAUACUGGAUGGCUCGAGUUUGGGAGAGGGAUGCGGAAUUCCGAGUGUAGAGGUGAAAUUCGAUAGAUAUUCGGAAGAACACCAGUGGCGAAGGCGACUCACUGGACACAUAGUUGACGCUGAGGUGGCGAAAGCG